GCCUCGGUGGUGUAGUGGUAGAGCACGAGUCCCCGGAUAGGAUCAAACGCGGGUUUGAUUCCUGCCAGAAGCC